GUGCUUGCUUUGGCAGCAUAUAUAUUAAAAUUGGAAUGAUACAGAGAAGAUUAGCAUGGCCCCUACACAAGGAUACCAUGCAGAGUCAUGAAGUGUUCCACAUCCUC
ensembl:snRNA U6 U6 spliceosomal RNA